AGUGAACGCUGGCGGCAGGCCUAACACAUGCAAGUCGAACGGCAGCACAGUGGAGCUUGCUCCAUGGGUGGCGAGUGGCGGACGGGUGAGGAAUACAUCGGAAUCUGCCCAGUCGUGGGGGAUAACAUAGGGAAACUUAUGCUAAUACCGCAUACGACCUACGGGUGAAAGCGGGGGAUCGCAAGACCUCGCGCGAUUGGAUGAGCCGAUGUCCGAUUAGCUAGUUGGCGGGGUAAUGGCCCACCAAGGCGACGAUCGGUAGCUGGUCUGAGAGGAUGAUCAGCCACACUGGAACUGAGACACGGUCCAGACUCCUACGGGAGGCAGCAGUGGGGAAUAUUGGACAAUGGGCGCAAGCCUGAUCCAGCCAUGCCGCGUGGGUGAAGAAGGCC
rnacentral:rRNA from 1 species